UACAGAGGGGGCAAGCGUUAUUCGGAAUUAUUGGGCGUAAAGGGCGCGUAGGCGGCUUUUCAAGUGACGGGUGAAAUCCCUCGGCUUAACCGAGGAACUGCCUGUCAGACUGGAAGGCUUGAGACCGGGAGAGGUGAGUGGAAUUCCCAGUGUAGCGGUGAAAUGCGUAGAUAUUGGGAGGAACACCAGUGGCGAAGGCGGCUCACUGGACAGUUCCUGACGCUGAGGCACGAAGGCCAGGGGAGCAAACGGG
rnacentral:rRNA from 1 species